GACGAACGCUGGCGGCGUGCUUAACACAUGCAAGUCGAACGGAAAGGCUCCAGCUUGCUGGAGUACUCGAGUGGCGAACGGGUGAGUAACACGUGGGUAAUCUGCCCUGCACUCUGGGAUAAGCCUGGGAAACUGGGUCUACUACUGGAUAUGACCUUUCUCCUUAUGGGGUUUGGUGGAAAGUUUUUCGGUGUAGGAUGAGCUCGCGGCCUAUCAGCUUGUUGGUGGGGUGAUGGCCUACCAAGGCGACGACGGGUAGCCGGCCUGAGAGGGUGAUCGGCCACAUUGGGACUGAGAUACGGCCCAGACUCCUACGGGAGGCAGCAGUGGGGAAUAUUGCACAAUGGGCGGAAGCCUGAUGCAGCGACGCCGCGUGAGGGAUGACGGCCUUCGGGUUGUAAACCUCUUUCAGCAGGGAUGAAGCGUAAGUGACGGUACCUGCAGAAGAAGCACCGGCUAACUAUGUG
rnacentral:rRNA from 1 species